CCUGAGAAACCCAAAAUAUCGAAUGGGGAGAUUCAUCGUCAGCGUGGCUGGCUUCCGUGCGGUUCGCGAUGGCCGGGACCUCGGUCCCGCGUCACGCGUCCGCCGCGGUUGUGCCCGGCCGCGUCGGCGUGCACUUCUCCCCUAGUAGGACGUCGCGACCCGUUGGGUGUCGGACCGAUGGCCGUUUGGUCGCCUGCCUCGUCGCGUUCACGCGUGCACGCGGCAGACCGAAAUGGCCGAGCGUCCGGCUGCCCGGCGGUAUAGAACGCAUAUUGAACGGUAAUGAGCCGCAUUAAGUGCGUUCAGGCUCGUCGGCAGGCUCGUCUCGCCCGGAUUUACGGACCAAGCGCCGUUGCCGGGUGCUUGGCGUGGCUGUUAGUCGGCGAUGUCCUCGGACUGGCUCUAAAAUUCGAAAGGAUUACCGGUCGGCGACGCUACUGCUUUGGGUACUUUC
rnacentral:rRNA from 1 species